UUUUGUUCUAUUCUCAUUAUUUGAUUCUUGUUCGGGCCUCACGCAAGAAUCUGAUGUACAGAUUGUUCGAUGAAAUGCCUCAGUGAAUGAUUGCGGCUACAUCCUAUCUCAGAAUCGAACAUGAUAUGGAUAGCAUUAAUCUCACCAGUGCUAGUGCUCUUGUUUACUUCUCUUUGCAAAGUUUUUCUGGAAUCUUUGUCCGCCUCAAAAGCAGCAUUCUUAAACGAUGGUAAUUUAUGUAAUUUUGUUCAUGAGCAUGAUGACAUGUGAUGAACUGCAGCAUUUCAACAUGAGGCACACUUCACCCUAAUUAAAUUCAAAUUGUAAUUAUCAAACCAUAAUUGGAGACUAAUAAAUUCUAAUUCGGUUUAAUUAGGGAGGACCCACACAAGUUUUUGCCCUUCAAAAAUAUGCUUCUUAAUUAUUGUUUUCUUCACUCUCCAAGAAAAAAAUUGUCUGCUAUUCGGCAAUCCAUAAAUGUGGUUUAUAUAAAACUUAAAUCUUUAUAGUUGGUUUCUUGAAUGGAAGGUGCGAGUUCUAGAAGGAGAAAUGUCUUGGUGGUUAUUGCUCAUCCUGACGAUGAGUCUAUGUAAGAUUGAAAUUUUGUAUUCUCAUUUGAUGUCAAGCACCAUUUAUGCUUUCCUGAAGACUUGUUCUCUAUCUUUGUCGUGCUCGAUCCAUUUGGGAUUCAUGUAUAAUGUGUUGUUCCACACUUGCAGGUUCUUUGCUCCUGUGAUUAAUUACCUGACUUCUGGGCAUCAUAAUGUACACAUACUUUGCAUGUCAACUGGUAACUCUGCCACAUGUACUUACAAUUUUCAGUAUGUGCCAAUAUAAUUUUGCCCCAGACAACAUUUGGUUAUAUCUGAAUCUUAAAUUAUCAAAAUUUGGAACUAACAAGGUUGUGAAAAAGAUCUCUAACUUAGUUUCCAGAACCAUUAGGCCUUGUUGGCUAGAUGUCACAUAUAGAUGAAGCUCCAUU
rnacentral:lncRNA from 1 species